rnacentral:rRNA from 1 species
UGGGGAAUAUUGCACAAUGGGCGCAAGCCUGAUGCAGCCAUGCCGCGUGUAUGAAGAAGGCCUUCGGGUUGUAAAGUACUUUCAGCGGGGAGGAAGGCGAUAAGGUUAAUAACCUUGUCGAUUGACGUUACCCGCAGAAGAAGCACCGGCUAACUCCGUGCCAGCAGCCGCGGUAAUACGGAGGGUGCAAGCGUUACUCGGAAUUACUGGGCGUAAAGCGCACGCAGGCGGUCUGUCAAGUCGGAUGUGAAAUCCCCGGGCUCAACCUGGGAACUGCAUUCGAAACUGGCAGGCUAGAGUCUUGUAGAGGGGGGUAGAAUUCCAGGUGUAGCGGUGAAAUGCGUAGAGAUCUGGAGGAAUACCGGUGGCGAAGGCGGCCCCCUGGACAAAGACUGACGCUCAGGUGCGAAAGCGUGGGGAGCAAACA